rnacentral:rRNA from 1 species
GACGAACGCUGGCGGCGUGCCUAAUACAUGCAAGUAGAACGCAGUUGCGAACGGGUGAGUAACGCGUAGGGAACUGCCUCAUAGCGGGGGUUAACUAUUGGAAACGAUAGCUAAUACCGCAUACUGUGCGAUGGACCUGCGUCGUGUGAGCUAGUUGGUGAGGUAAAGGCUCACCAAGGCGAAGCUACAUAGCCGGCGUGAGAGGGUGAGGGGCCACACAGGGAUCGGGAAACGGCGCCGAGUCCCCUGGGGGGGAGACGGAGGGAAACUUCGGCAAUGGAGGGAAGUCUGACCGAGGAACGCGGCGGGAGUGGAGAAGGUUUUCGGGUCGUAAAACUCAGUUGUUAUAGAAGCGGUAACUAACCAGAAAGGGACGGCUAACUACGUGCCAGCAGCCGCGGUAAUAC